CUAAUUGUUUUCAAGUGACCGUAGGGGCCAAACGUACGUGCCAUGCAUAAAAAUGCUCAGCGAGAUUAAAUGUUCGCCGACAAGACAAACUAAGAAAGCAUGUUACACGUUAACACAUCAGGAGAAGUCAUCCCUGAAAAUGAAUUGUGUGCUUUGUACGAUAUUGCUGGUAAUCAACUGUACAUAAAGAUUCUGGGCAGGAGUUUUCUACACCCAUAUCACCCAGUAAUUCGUAGCCCCGAUGAUGAUAUAAUUGAAAUUCGACUGUAAAUUUAGAAGUUGUAUGUGCAAACUGCGACUCUUUGCUCAGAUCACUGAAUAUAAA
rnacentral:lncRNA from 1 species